rnacentral:rRNA from 1 species
UACGUAGGGUGCAAGCGUUGUCCGGAAUUAUUGGGCGUAAAGAGCUCGUAGGCGGUUUGUCGCGUCGGCUGUGAAAACCUGGGGCUCAACCCCGGGCCUGCAGCCGAUACGGGCAGGCUAGAGUUCGGUAGGGGAGACUGGAAUUCCUGGUGUAGCGGUGAAAUGCGCAGAUAUCAGGAGGAACACCGGUGGCGAAGGCGGGUCUCUGGGCCGAUACUGACGCUGAGAAGCGAAAGCAUGGGGAGCGAACAGG